CUUCACCUGCUAAAACCUUGCUAAGGUUUUGCCCAGAGCAAAUAUUUAUAGCUGAGCUCUGAACCUCUGAAAAAGAGAGCUGAUAAUGGAAAUGUGGGCAGACCUUUAACUAUAGCAAUGCUAGGGGACACUGUUGUAAUAUAUGUAUAUUUACCCAUAUUCGAAUGCUUCAAGAUUUUGCUCUCCUUUUCCUGGACAACUUGUGAGUGCAGCAGGGGGCACCACAAACAUACAAAUUACUUGGAAUGAAGAGCUCCAGCAUGCUCACGUUUCCUACUACUUGAAGGCGGAACCACUGAAACCAGUUAUCUCUCAGUAAUUUGCAUAUUUAUGGUACCUCCUGUAGUUUUCUGUGAUUGCUUUACAGUCAGGAAAGGUAACCGAAAAAUAUAUAUCCUCCUUUAAAAAAACGAAACAGUAUCAUACAUGAACAGUGGCUCUGAUACAAGACUAUUCCUUGUAAAGCCCAUGGCAUGAAAUUUAUUUACCAAACUUCUUUUCAUUUUAGGAUUCGAAGGGAGUAUUUUGAAAGUUACAAGGCUGAAGACCCACGGUCCAUGAUGCUAUGAAAAUUGUUGUAGAAAAGCACUUGUCAUUUGAGGGGGAAAUAAUUAGCCUCACCAUAUUCGUUGAAUGUAUGCAUCUAAGGAGGAGGCAAUCCUUGGAGAAUGGAAAACGCAUUCAAUGGACACUUAAAAAGUAUAGUGUCACGGCCCUGAUCCUGCAACAUGUAGCAUCUGGGCAGAGUGCGGUGCACAUGAGAGCCUUGUGCCUGUAGGCAAGAAGUUGGGAAAUCAGGUCCAAGCUCUUAAAAGAAGGGGUGUGUAUGUGUGUGUGUUUUAAUAGUGAAAAUAAGUACUAUUUGUUUAAUAAGUAUUUAUUUUGUAGAAUAAGUAUUAUUAUUCAUUAUAGCACCCAGAGCCCCCAACUGAGACUGGACAGCAAGUC
rnacentral:lncRNA from 1 species